AGAGUGAACGCUGGCGGUAGGCCUAACACAUGCAAGUCGAACGGCAGCACAGGAGAGCUUGCUCUCUGGGUGGCGAGUGGCGGACGGGUGAGGAAUACAUCGGAAUCUACCUUUUCGUGGGGGAUAACGUAGGGAAACUUACGCUAAUACCGCAUAAGACCUUCGGGUAGAAAGCCGGGGACCUUCGGGCCUGGCGCGGAUAGAUGAGCCGAUGUCGGAUUAGCUUGGUUGGGACGGGGUAAAACGCCCAACCCGAAGGCCGACGAUCCGUAGCUAGGUCUGGAGAGGAUGAUCAGCCCACACGUAGGAACUGACGACACGGUCCAGACUCCGACGGGAGCAGCGAGGU
rnacentral:rRNA from 1 species